rnacentral:misc_RNA from 1 species
GUUUAGUUAAAUUUAUCGAUUCCUAUUAUUUAAAAACAUAUUACAUAAUUUUUUUAUUCUUUAAUUCUUGUAUUAUUUAAUUCCCGUAUCGGUAAUUUUCUCUCCUUUAAGAUGACUCAAGGAGAGGAGAUUGCUUCUUAUUAUCUAAGUAAUUAGUCCUGUUAUAAAGUGCUGAGAAAGAAGGGUAAGCCUGCCCUGUCCUCAUGUUCUUCAAUCUUUUUCUUCUAUAG